GUCGAGGGGCAGCAGGGACUUCGGUCCGCUGGCGACCGGCGCACGGGUGCGUAACGCGUAUGCAACUUGCCCUGCACAGGAGGAUAACCCGUCGAAAGACGGACUAAUACUGCGUACACUCACUGGGAGGCAUCUCUUGGUGAGGAAAGAAAUUCGGUGUAGGAUAGGCAUGCGUCCCAUUAGCUAGUUGGUGAGGUAACGGCUCACCAAGGCGACGAUGGGUAGGGGAACUGAGAGGUUUAUCCCCCACACUGGUACUGAGACACGGACCAGACUCCUACGGGAGGCAGCAGUGAGGAAUAUUGGUCAAUGGGCGCGAGCCUGAACCAGCCAAGUCGCGUGAAGGAUGACUGUCUUAUGGAUUGUAAACUUCUUUUGUAUGGGAAUAACGGGGCGGACGUGUCCGCUUGUGAAUGUACCAUACGAAUAAGCAUCGGCUAACUCCGUGCCAGCAGCCGCGGUAAUACGGAGGAUGCGAGCGUUAUCCGGAUUUAUUGGGUUUAAAGGGUGCGUAGGCGGCUUGUUAAGUCAGCGGUGAAAUCUUGGGGCUUAACCCCGAAACUGCCGUUGAAACUGGCGAGCUUGAGUGUAGAUGAGGUAGGCGGAAUUCGUGGUGUAGCGGUGAAAUGCAUAGAUAUCACGAGGAACUCCGAUUGCGCAGGCAGCUUACUAAGGUACAACUGACGCUGAAGCACGAAAGCGUGGGUAUCAAACAGGAUUAGAUACCCUGGUAGUCCACGCAGUAAACGAUGAUAACUGGGCGUAUGCGAUAUACAGUAUGCUCCUAAGCGAAAGCGUU
rnacentral:rRNA from 1 species